CAGAGCUUGCUCUGUGGGUGGCGAGUGGCGGACGGGUGAGGAAUACGUGGGAAUCUGCCCAGUCGUGGGGAUAACGUAGGAAACUUACGCUAAUACCGCAUGCGCCCUUCGGGGGAAAGCCGGGGACCUUCGGGCCUGGCGCGAUUGGAUGAGCCCACGUCGGAUUAGCUAGUUGGCGGGGUAAAGGCCCACCAAGGCGACGAUCCGUAGCUGGUCUGAGAGGAUGAUCAGCCACACUGGAACUGAGACACGGUCCAGACUCCUACGGGAGGCAGCAGUAGGGAAUAUUGGACAAUGGGCGCAAGCCUGAUCCAGCCAUGCCGCGUGAGUGAAGAAGGCCCUCGGGUUGUAAAGCUCUUUUGUCCGGAAAGAAAAGCGCCGGGUUAAUACCCUGGUGUCCUGACGGUACCGGAAGAAUAAGCACCGGCUAACUUCGUGCCAGCAGCCGCGGUAAUACGAAGGGUGCAAGCGUUACUCGGAAUUACUGGGCGUAAAGCGUGCGUAGGUGGUUCGUUAAGUCCGAUGUGAAAGCCCUGGGCU
rnacentral:rRNA from 1 species